CUCAAAGCUAUAUUUCUCUUGGCUUCCAGGGAGAACUCUAUAAACUUUCAUUUGGCUACGCAGGUCAGAAAAGUAAAUGUCACUGCAGGCCCUCAUUUAGAAUCAGACUUCUAUUGGACACCUUUUCUGCCACAGCGAGGCUUCCUAAAUUCAACCUCUCCUAAAGAAGACCUUGGUUCCCUGGUGUGGCCGGCUGCCCCCAGCGCCUCCUUUGCUCUGUGCCUGUGCCCUCAUGUCUCCUGGGUCCUGGCUGGAGCACAUGGCAACCUCUGGACACUGAGAGACACUGAAGUGGGCAAGUAUCUCCCAGCAGCAGUGCACAGGAACACAGCGGCUUGGCAGCUGAGAACAAAGCCCCCUGGGGAGCUGCAGAAGCUGCAGGUGCUGGCUCACUCCAGGGCUGUUUCUGGGAUGUUGAGGUUGUAGAAUUUUCAAAGUCCCCCAGGACUCCACUGUGCAGCACAGGUUGUCAGCCUAGGUUUGGCCACAGCCUGUCACCCCAUUUCCUUGGUGCUUGGGUCCUGGCACCAUCCUGAGUGCUGUUGUGCUUCCUGCUUCGUCUUGGUUAAGCCUGGGGCUGAGGACUGGCCUGAGCAUCCUGCUCUGGGAGUGCUGCCAAGAUUCAGGAAGGGCAGCGGUCCAGCAAUCAGUCCUGUCCAGAGCACCAGUGUCCCCUCCAGAGCACCCUGGUGGCAGCAGCGCUCAGGGACAUAUGGGCACAGGAGUUGAGUUACACUUCAUUGCCCCAAAUCGCAAAGGCAGAGGAUAGGGUGGAACCUGGAGCUGGAGACCACAGAUCACGAGCAGGGAGUCAGUUGUGACUUGGAGCUGCAGACCAUGGUUCACUAGUACCUGCUUUACUUAUAAAAAAGCACUCCAAAAAGUUUGCAGAAAAUCGAAUAGAAAAGAUAAGUUUAGGAGCCAGCAUCUGGUGCAGCAGUUAAGCCCCUCCUUGGGAUUCCCACAUGCCCCAUCAGAGUGCCUAGUUCAAGUCUUGGUUCUGCUUUUGAUACCAGCUUCCUGCUAAUGUGCACCCUGGGGACAUCACUGAUGGUUCAAGUACCUGGGUCCCUGCCACCCGUAUGGGAGACCUGGAUGGAGCUACUGGCUCCUGGUUUUGGCCUGCCUCAGCCCCAGCUGUUGCAGAU
rnacentral:lncRNA from 1 species